UAAAUGUAAUAUAACACCUUGAGUUGAGGUUGACAUGUAGCUGCGGGUGAUUUUAUAUUAACUUACACGCGACUUAUUGCAUCCAUAUCCAUACCUCUUUAGAGGUAAUAUCACAACUAAAAAACUGCAGUAUGACAGGAUCAGUGAUGUUUACUAUUCUGGUCGGUUUUGCCAUCAUUGCUGGCAGCACAGUUUUUCCUGUGGAAACUAGAAAAGCUUCUGCGGAACCUGCCAAGUUCCAGUGUCCUGAACCGCAGCCGUGCACACCCAUUCCAUCCACCUGUAUCAAGACGGUUACCCCUUAUGGUCUCUACUUCGGCGGCUUAGUAUGCGCAGAAUGUCCUGUGUGUGAGAUUUAUAAAUCCCCAGAUUUAACAUUGUAGGUAUCCAUUUUUCGACAAAUUUCCACAUAAAAUAAAUAGAAUCGUUUCAAAAAAUCAUCAUCGAAAAAAAUGAAACAUAGAUGAGCCUUUAUAUAUCUCCACCCCCACUAGCCCACAAAGCGAUCCUGACUUCAAAUGUAGCAUUUUACAAACUCAUGUCCUUUCAGGUGCUCGAUGAUUCCCGGAUGUAUUCAAAUGCCGAGUGACUGCCUUAUACAGUUGCCUACAGGUUACCUCUCAGACGCUUGUGAUAAAACCUGUUUCCUCUGUCCAGUGUGCAUUCUGACCAAGAGAAUACCGUAAAAUUGCGUUCAAGGUUCCAAGUUUUGUUCCACUGUAAUAGAUGAAAUUAUCUACUAUUUUGACUUUGUUACAGUGUAUACCGCAACAGGCCCGUAGCCAGAAAUUUCAAAAGGGGGGUUCUUUUUCUGAAAAAGUGGACCUUUUACCAUACAACUUUCAUGUACCUUUAUUAAAUUUCACCCAGAGGGGACCUUUUCCCUGCAAAAAGGGGGGUUCUUUCGAACCCCCCGAAUCCCCCCCCCCCUGGCUACGGGCCUGCGCAAUUAUUGUCAAAGCACAAUGUGUUUCAAAUAGAUCUUAAAUUUUAAAACAUAGGGACGAGACUUUGCAUCAAAAUGUGGCGAGUGUUUUGAUUGAUGAUUAUGAUAUGAAUAAUAAACUGUAACAUCUACGAUCACAAAUAAGUGGUUUUUGUAUAUUUUGUAUCAACGUGUAUUGUUAUGUUCUAGAGAUAACUGGUGUCAAACAUGCACCUUAACAGAGCAAAAUGCUUUUUAAAAUAAUAAUCCUAAACAAUGUCAAAAAGUAUUGUUGUACAAAACAUGAAUCGAAAAACUAAAUACAUUUGGACACUGAAAGGUAUAACUGUACGCUUUUGAAUGGCCAGUCAUUUAGAACUAAAUCAAAAUGGAGAACAUCGAAUACAAGUGCAGUGACGUAUCGAGCAAUGAUUCGUUAGUAAGAAAUAUUGUUUUUCCUCGUGGAAUAUUAAGUUUGGUGGCUAAAUCCAGUAUAGAGUACCUAUAAGUUAAUAUUAAAUAUAUCCUGUUGUACCACAAAAACGACAGUUAUAGCUAUUAUUUCGAUA